UGAAAUGCCAAUGGCAGGAUCUUAUAUUAUUUCUAAGAGCACGAAGCAAGAGCUCCUUCUGCAAAUCCCAUUAAUAACUGCUUUGAAACUGUAGCCUGCAAAGCCCAUUAAAUCCAGAAAGAUAUAUUUAAAAGAAAAAAUAAAAAGUAUUUGAACUUUGCAGUGUCUGGGAGGCCACUUUAAUUGAAUGGCAAACAGAGCAUUUCUAAUCCAUCCCAGGCGAGAGAAGAGAGAGCAGAAAGGACACGCGCUGAAAAGAGAAGGAAAACAAAUACCAGGAAGGCGCUCAGUGCCGCUCCAGCAGACCUCGCAGCUGCUUCAGAACGGGCAUCCAGACUUUUCAAGGUCUCUGUGGGCAAUAACACGGCCCUUGUGCCACGGCCAGCAGGCAGGGAGCAGAGGUCACCGGGGCAGGGAAGGCAUUGCAAGAGAUGGAAAUGGGAGCUGAAGCAAACACAAGUGGUCUCAGCCACACCAAGCGUUGCAGCAGGAUGAACAAUUGAUUCCUUGCUGUCUUGGCCCAAGAACAGCUGCUAAUACCGAUGGAAAGAGACAGCGCUGUGCACGGCAACGUGCACUCAUGCAGCCCUUCCCAGAAUGGCUGAAACCCCUGAAGAAGGCCCUGGAGAUGCCCUGUCCCACCCCCAGCUCCAGUGGGGCCAUCUAGGGCUGGGUGCUCAGUGCUUGGUCCAGGCCUUGGAAAGACCCAAACGAGGUUAUGUUGUACUCUAACGAACUGCUCAGGGGAGGAGAGGUCCCUUUGGUCUACAUGAACAUCAACAGAAGUCUCAUCUGGGUUUGCUUGCUUCCUACACCUACUUAAGGGCAAUUGCCUUUUGCUGUUGUCAUCUGCUGUGUAACUUUAAUUGCACUCAGAAGGGCACUUUGGAAAACAGACCCAACCAAGUUUAGAGAAUUCAAUUCUCUUUGUGCUCCUUUAAGGUGGAUUAAAUGAGACUAAUGUGGUUUAAAAGUUCUUAAGCCACACAAUUAAAGCCAUUACAACUCGGUAGUUCUGCAAUACUGACUUCACAACUGAAGUACAAUUGGUUUUCUCAGGACUAAUGGAAAUUCCUGCAUUUCUAACGGGAGACAUUUAGCAAAGACAUAUGUUUUUUAGAUAUUCUCUCUCAUUUGUAAAUACUCUACAGUACUUAUGCCAUGGGUGUAAGGCAGCUUUCACCCCAGCACAGCUGGUUUUCCUGGUCCUUGUCCAGCAGUGCAUCUCAUGGACCCCGUUGUGCCUUUGCUGAGCUUUCUCACUGCCUGCUGCUUAAAAGCUCCGGGAGGUUUAAUAAUAGAUAACAACUCAUAUAGCAUCAGCACGAUUAAACACUCAGGCAAAGAUUACCCAAGUUAAAAUGACCAGCUGUCCAAAUUCAGAGGAGACAACUCUGACUUUUUAGGCUCAUCAGACUGGCUUACCCAAGCAUCCAUUUCGUCUCACUGUUACACUAGGGCUUGCCUUUCUAUUAGCAGCUGUUCUGGUUCUCCUCCUGCAAAACGCAACACACCGCUCCACUCCAGCAGAGCAGCUCACUGCUGUUAGCAGGGUUUAUUUUAUAGAAAGGCUCCAAAGCCCCAGGUGGGACCAAAGCACCUGGUCCUGGUGACUCCCUACAUUCCCGUACCAUCAGAGUGCCGGUCCCAUUCAUCUCUUUCUCACCUCAAACAGUGGGUGUCUUCUCCAACCUCAAUGAUUGUAUGGUUCUAUAAUUCUAUAUGUAAUGCCCUACACGAAAUUAAUAAACCAUGGCACUUGUCACA
ensembl:lncRNA